ACGCCAAAGCAACACGUUUCACAAACGCUUACAGGCCUGAGGCCAAUCCUCCUUGCUGCAUGGGCUCUAACAAAAGCCUUUAUUAACAUUCCUGUUCAUCAUCAGGGCUGGUUUGAUGUCAACGGAGUGUUUAUUAAACACCGAGAUAAGAGGCGUUGGAGGGGGGAAAAAGAAGACAGGAGAGGCCAUUUGCAACGUUGCGGCGUUAACACCAGAGCAGGUGCGUCUCAACAGUUAAUUGGGAGCCGUCACCUCUCCAGGGGUGAUUUGUCACUGCCCUCUGGAGACAGGCAGAGCUAACAGCAACGUACGCAGACGUCGUGUCGUGAAAAGAAACCUGCGCGUCACCGACGUCUUUGUCCACACUGGGAUGUUUACCUGCUGAAACGUGAGAUCUGUGGGUAGGAAGAGCGGCGAGUCUGCUACGACUUUCGCUUUCGUAGCUGAACUCUCGACUACGUGCAGCUAAAACUACAACUCCCAUAAUCCCCUGGCUUACCAUGAGGAAAUCUCGCUGUUUUUGCUGGGAUUUUCACGACCAAACAUGCUUUGGAUCAGAAACAACUGAGACAGUAGUGUUAUAAAUAUACAAUAACAAAGACUACUUUCACCUGCCUUAGCUAAUGUCAUGUCAACUUACAAGAUUCACCUCUCAAACACACACACACACACACACGACGAGAAUCACAAAGUGAUACAUAAAACAUUUGAAGAAAAGGGAGGAAAAAGAAUGAUCUCAAUCUCUGUGGUAUCUUCAAAGACAGAACGAUGGAGGCUAGGGAUUUAGUUAUGUCUGUGAUCGCCCCUGGGCAUGUUGGUUCAUCUCUCUCAACCUCUCCUACACAGUCAUUCUUUCCUGCACAACCUCUUUGUGAGUGCUUGUGCUGCUGGUUAAGUGCGUUGAGCUCGAGGGUAAAGCAACAUAGCUGGUUCCAUGAGGCCUGGAGUGUACUAGGGUUCCACCGCCACAUGGCACAUGAAUACACGUAUGUAGCAUGGUGCAAUUCUGGCUGUCCGGAGAGACGACCGAAAAAGAAGAAGAUGGUGUUUAGGUCGUGCUAAAGAUGUCAAGACUGCACAGGACAGGACAGGACGAUCUCUGAAUGUGAUGCUUAUAUCUGUGCUCUUUAUUAUCUCCAGGCAUUUUAUAAGUGUUGUAGGAUGCUGAAUCUAAACAUGAGAAUGAAAAGACGAGUUGUGUCCGAAUACUAUUAUUAUUCAUGUUAUUUACGUGUUUAUGGUUCAAAUGAAAAUAAAAGCCUCGUCUAUAUUAUAUACGUUAUCUUUGUCUUGUCAUUGUUGUCAUAUCAUCAUUACGCCACAAAAACGAUUAACUAAUAAUUAGCUUAUAUCAAAUUAGCUAUUCUAGCCAUAGGCUAAUAGGAGGCUACGGCAUUCUCCAAAGGAAAAACGCAACAUCACCACAAAUGGGAAAAGUCAUUGACGAACAAAACAUUUCCCAACUAGCUAUCACACUAGCAUGUACAGUGCGUCUUUAUAAACGUCAGGUCUUGAAAUAUCCUACAAAAGAUUGCCCUCCAUUACAGCGGAUGUAACAAAUCGAAACGAUAGUUUUACCCCUGCUAUGCUCGUGGACUCAGUUGUGGAAAUAAUUGCUGUGCUUAGAAUUUCACUAGUUUUUUUAAUGGUCACACAGUCUAACUCCCGACACCAUUUUGAGCCGCACGUCUCUUUGCGAAUUGCAGAGCUGCAACUGCAAGAGGAGGAAAAUAUAGCCGGGACAAGAGGUCGGCGGUAAUUCCACCGCACUAACAGUCUGCCCGUCACGUCUUUAUAACGCAUCCUUGAGAUUCUGUCUGUGAACUGUUUUACACUGCAGUAACAUUAAAGACACACCAACCCAUUUUGUUUCACACUUGACAUGCAUUUGUCAUGUUUUGUAAACCCUCGUUUAUUUCUUGGAACGUGUGUCCAUCUUAAAUAGCCUAGUCUCCGUCUAUCCUUUUAACGUGUUGAAAUGACAAUUGCAUUAAACAUUAUACGGCAACAUCUGUCCACAAACUAGGAACACAUCUGGGAAAAUCUUACUCACCAAAUAUCCGAAGGGAUUUUCAAUAGUGUUGUGGCUUGUCUUGGAUUCAGUGCAGGGUCCCGAGUUGUCACUAUUUUGCCUUGUUCAAUGCUGGCGGUUUUCUCCUAGGUUCGCUUCGCUGCUUUCUCAUGAGCGACGUUGGUAGCAUCGACAUCCACACACAGAAA